rnacentral:tRNA from 1 species
GCGGGCAAUAAGAGCUGGCGCACUAACGAGCCUCAUAAGCUCGUACUAGAUGGGUUCGAUUCCCAUGCUCGCA